CGAGAAAUUUUCUGNCNCNUUUUAAUUUUUUUUUGAAUUUAACUUUAAAGUAAAAAGNCUUUAAUUUAAAUUAAAGACGAGAAGACCCUAUAGAGUUUAAUAUUAUUUUUGUAAUGAUUUAUUUGGAAUUUUUUAUUUAUUUUAUUUUUAAUAUUUGGUUGGGGUGACUAAAAGANUUAAUAAACUCUUUUUUUUUAUAAUCAUUGAUUUUUGAAUUAAGAANCUAAUUUUUUUAAAAUUAAGAUAAAUUACCU
rnacentral:rRNA from 1 species